AGGAUAAACGCUGGCGGCGUGCCUAACGCAUGCAAGUCGCACGAAGCCUUCGGGCUUAGUGGCGGACGGGUGAGUAACACGUAGGAACCUGCCCGGAAGUGGGGGACAACUCCGCGAAAGCGGGGCUAAUACCGCAUACGGUCUAAGGACCAAAGCCUUCGGGCGCUUUCGGAGGGGCCUGCGGCGGAUUAGCUUGUUGGUGGGGUAACGGCCUACCAAGGCGACGAUCCGUAGCUGGUCUGAGAGGAUGGCCAGCCACACUGGGACUGAGACACGGCCCAGACUCCUACGGGAGCAGCAGCGAGGUAAUUUCCGCAAGUGGG
rnacentral:rRNA from 1 species